rnacentral:rRNA from 1 species
GUAGGUGGCAAGCGUUGUCCGGAAUUAUUGGGCGUAAAGCGCGCGCAGGCGGUUCUUUAAGUCUGAUGUGAAAGCCCACGGCUCAACCGUGGAGGGUCAUUGGAAACUGGAGAACUUGAGUACAGAAGAGGAAAGCGGAAUUCCACGUGUAGCGGUGAAAUGCGUAGAGAUGUGGAGGAACACCAGUGGCGAAGGCGGCUUUCUGGUCUGUAACUGACGCUGAGGCGCGAGAGCGUGGGGAGCAAACAGGAUUAGAUACCCUGGUAGUCCACGCCGUAAACGAUGAGUGCUAAGUGUUAGGGGGUUUCCGCCCCCCUUAGUGCUGCAGCUAACGCAUUAAGCACUCCGCCUGGGAGUACGGCCGCAAGGCUG